AGGGGCAUAGUUCAAUGGUAGAACAGCGGUCUCCAAAACCGUCGAUGUGAGUUCGACUCUUACUGCCCCUG
rnacentral:tRNA from 2 species